UAGGGAAUCUUCCGCAAUGGACGCAAGUCUGACGGAGCAACGCCGCGUGAGUGAAGAAGGAUUUCGGUUCGUAAAACUCUGUUGUUAGAGAAGAACAGCGCAUAGAGUAACUGUUAUGCGUGUGACGGUAUCUAACCAGAAAGCCACGGCUAACUACGUGCCAGCAGCCGCGGUAAUACGUAGGUGGCAAGCGUUGUCCGGAUUUAUUGGGCGUAAAGCGAGCGCAGGCGGUCAAUUAAGUCUGAUGUGAAAGCCCCCGGCUCAACCGGGGAGGGUCAUUGGAAACUGGUUGACUUGAGUGCAGAAGAGGAGAGUGGAAUUCCAUGUGUAGCGGUGAAAUGCGUAGAUAUAUGGAGGAACACCAGUGGCGAAGGCGACUCUCUGGUCUGUAACUGACGCUGAGGCUUGAAAGCGUGGGUAGCAAACAGG
rnacentral:rRNA from 1 species